GCCGCCGUAGCUAAGCCCGGUAUAGCGGCGGGCUGUUAACCCGUAGGUCCCGGGUUCAAAUCCCGGCGGCGGCG
rnacentral:tRNA from 1 species